AGCAUGGCUGUCCUGCUGCUGCUCCUCUGCCUGGUGACCUAUCCAAGCUGUGCCCUGUCCCAGGUGCAGCUGAAGGAGUCAGGACCUGACCUGGUGCAGCCCUCACAGACUCUGUCUCUCACCUGCACUGUCUCGGGGUUCUCAUUAACCAGCUAUCAUGUAACCUGGGUCCGCAAGCCUCCAGGAAAGGGUCUGGAGUGGAUGGGUGCUAUGUGGAGUGAUGGGGCCACAGGUUAUAAUUCAGCUCUCAAAUCCAGACUCAGCAUCCGCAGAGACACCUCCAAGAGCCAGGUCUUCUUGACACUGAACAGUCUGCAUACUGAGGACACAGCCAUGUACUACUGUGCCAGAGACACAGUGAGGGAACUUCACUCUGAGCCUGCAAAAAAAAAACUUUCUACAAGGAUGUUCAAACCAGAAGAGGGCGCUAAUGAUAACAUGAAGGGCUAG